rnacentral:snRNA from 1 species
AUCACAUCUCCACUUUUGGUGAAGAUCAAAAGCUGCAUCUGUUCCUAACAGUUUAAUAUCGGAGCCGUCUUCUGUCUAAGCAGAAUAUAGUCUGUGGUUUUAGAGCAGGGAGAGCGAUAGGCACCACCUCGGUUUGUCCCUGUAUUCACCUGGUGUCGUAAUGCCGCCAGGAAAGAUACACCCCAU